rnacentral:rRNA from 1 species
CCCUUAGAUGCUCUGGGCCGCACGCGCGCUACACUGGUCGAUGCAACGAGUUUCUUUCCUUGGCCGACAGGCCUGGGCAAUCUUUGAACAUCGAUCGUGAUCGGGAUAGAUUCUUGUAAUUUUUGAUCUUAAACGAGGAAUUCCUAGUAAACGCAAGUCAUCAGCUUGCAUUGAUUACGUCCCUGCCCUUUGUACACACCGCCCGUCGCACCUACCGAUUGAAUGGUCCGGUGAAUCUUUAGGACUGUGGCUGAGGCCUUGCCUUGUGCGGGUCUGGCCGUGGGAAUUUAGUUAAACCUUACCAUUUAGAGGAAGGUGAAGUCGUAACA